rnacentral:rRNA from 1 species
ACAGCAGUCGCCGCGGUAAUACGAAGGGUGCAAGCGUUAAUCGGAAUUACUGGGCGUAAAGCGUGCGUAGGCGGUUUGUUAAGUCUGCUGUGAAAUCCCCGGGCUCAACCUGGGAAUGGCAGUGGAUACUGGCAAGCUAGAGUGUGUCAGAGGAUGGUGGAAUUCCCGGUGUAGCGGUGAAAUGCGUAGAGAUCGGGAGGAACAUCAGUGGCGAAGGCGGCCAUCUGGGACAACACUGACGCUGAGGCACGAAAGCGUGGGGAGCAAACAGGAUUAGAUACCCCCGUAGUCCCUGUCUCUUAUAC